rnacentral:antisense_RNA from 1 species
CUUCACCGAGCCGAGCCACAGGGGCUCUCCCGCGCGGCCCUUGCCGUAGGUGGCGAGGAGCGCCUGCGCCUC